rnacentral:piRNA from 1 species
UUUCUGCUGAGCCACGGCCCUGGC